GGGCCCGCACAAGCGGUGGAGCAUGUGGUUUAAUUCGAAGCAACGCGAAGAACCUUACCAAGGCUUGACAUCCCUUCGACGUAUAUAGAGAUAUAUAUUCCCUUCGGGGCGAAGGUGACAGGUGGUGCAUGGUUGUCGUCAGCUCGUGUCGUGAGAUGUUGGGUUAAGUCCCGCAACGAGCGCAACCCUUAUUUUUAGUAGCCAGCGGGAGAGGCCGGGCACACUAGAGAGACUGCCGUGGAUAACACGGAGGAAGGUGGGGACGACGUCAAAUCAUCAUGCCCCUUAUGUCUUGGGCUACACACGUGCUACAAUGGCAACUACAAAGAGAAGCGAAGUCGUGAGGCAGAGCAAACCUCAAAAAGUUGUCACAGUUCGGAUUGUAGUCUGCAACUCGACUACAUGAAGCUGGAAUCGCUAGUAAUCGCGAAUCAGCAUGUCG
rnacentral:rRNA from 1 species